UCAUACGGUGUUCAAUUUAGGUAUAUGAAUAUACCACAGUGAUCUACUCGACGUCACGGACGUCGACAUAUUUUUAAAAUAAUUUUAUUUUUAUUUUUUAUUUUUACUGUAGCACCUUCUUCUUCCUUGGGUCGCCGGACUGGUUUUUCCGGCGGCCGUUUUCCGGGCAGUUUUUUCAAAUUGCCAUAACUUUGUCAUUUCUCAACGAAAUCAAGUGAUUCAAAAACGAAAGUUGUAGCCCUUGAAGAGACAAAGAGAAUGGUACCUUGCACAACACCUAGUUCUCCGUGGUUUGGCCGGAAACUGCCUCGAAAGCCUCGGAGGUCGCCGGAAACUGGGUAUUUUUCAAAUGAGUAUAACUUCUUCAAUACUCAACGAAAUUGAGUGAAACAAAAAGGAAAGUUGUAGUACUUGACGAGACGAAGAGAUUGAUACCUACCUCGACUUCUAACUCUCCGGGGAUUCGCCGGAAAACGCCUCGAAAGCUCCGGCCAAACUUUGAACUUGUCGAUCUCCGUGUUCUUACGUCCAAAAACUUCCAACGAAGCACUCCGAGCUUCCUUGGGACCUCACUAAGCUUGCUAUGACCUUAUUUUGGCCUAAAACACAACCACUUCAAAGAUCAUGAACAGUACACAUUCACGGGUCUUUAGAACUAGGGUUUUUCGAAAUGAAACUUACCUGAAAUUGGUAUCCCCGUGCUCGUGAAGUCCCCAGGAUCACGAUGGUGGUCUUAAAUGGAACGUUGGUACAAGAUUGUGGUGGUUCUUGGUGGUUGCCCGUGCGUUCGAGAAGAAGAGAGAGAGUGAGAGUUUCUGAGGAAGAGCUGAGGAAGAGAGAGAGAGUGAAAAUCUGAAAUGGAAGAAGAAGAGAGAAGAAAGGUUACGGGUUUUAGGGAGGGAAUUCAGGGUAGGAGGCCCUACCUAAGUCCAAGCACAAAUUAACACAUACAAAUAUAAAUCUAACCCUAGUUUAGGAUCUUAAAGUAAAACAAAUGUCAUACAUUUACACACCUUAAUCCCGUUUAAGGUCACAUUGGUCAUCUCACGUCCUCGGAAUUAAUAAUUCCGGGACGGGCUGUGACAAUCUCCCCUCCUUAUAGAAUUUCGUCCCCGAAAUUCCAAUCACCAACCAGAACAUCAAAACUCAUAAAAUAGUCUCGGAUACAUAACUCUCAUCCGUUCUUCUGUCUCCCAUGUAAUUUUCUACUGAAUGAUUUCCUUCACAAAGCUUUUACUACUUACUCUGUCUUAAUUCUUAGGACCUUCUUUUUCUAAUUCUCGUCAUUUCUGUUCGCGGUGAAUUUUCCAAAAAUAUCAAACCAUUUACCUUACACACUCGAUUAGUGGCAUAUCCAUCUGUUGAUCUCUUUUGCCAUUCCUGGUUACUUCAGGUUAACUUAAUCACCUGAAUACUUUGAGGACUCAUCCAUAGUCUCAGGGUCUACUAAAACUCUUUCUUGAUCGAAUCUUUCUCUACCCAGAAACAUUCCAUUCACAAGUCAUCAAAAACCGACUCACGUGACACAUUUCAUGGUCCUUAUGGCGUUACUUCGGAAACUGCACAACCAACAUACUUAAGAAACUUAGCAGUUCCGUAAUCCAAUUCUCUUUUCCAUAAAACAAAUAAGUAGUGUUGCACUGUCUGGGAAAGGUUGUUACUCAACACUGGAGUAAAUGUACUAACUUGUUACUUAACAAGUAUAACUUCUUCUCGAUCUUCCAUUCUUAACUUUACUUUAGUUGGUUUCCAAUCCACAAGAAGAUAAUCUUGGCAAACGUGCCAGACAUUAAUCUUACUGUAGUCUUCUCGCCAAGUGCUUGAGCUAGAACAAACUUUACGAUCACCCUGAUCGUACAAUCAUGUUCAUUAAGCAAUACAAUUCACUUUCGCUGCCUCAUAUCAAAAUCCUUCCAAGUAAUGGAUAUUGAAGACUUUUUGGAUUCGUAAAAAUCUUGCAUUCUUACCAAAUAUAAUGCCUUCAUAACUUCACAGCAAGAAUGGUAAUCAUGACUUCCAAGUCACCCGUAGGGUAAUUCAUCUCAUGAGGUUCCAUUUAUCGUGAAACGUAUGCAAUCACCCUAACAUUUGCAUCAACAUGCAUCCAAUACCAUUCAAGAAACAUCACUAAAAAUUUAUGAUUACCAUUAUUCUCUGGGAUUACUAAAAUACGUGCAUGAGUGAGGAAAUACUUCAGUUUGUUGAAUCCUUUGCUCACAAUUUCCUUCCCACUCAUACAUAACCUCCUUUCUCAACAGUCUCAUCAAUGACAAAACAAUGACUAAAAAUUCUUUCACAACCAUCCAAAAUAGCCUGAUAAGUUAAGAAUUUCCGAAUCUCAAUUAUGGCUUGUGGUUGUUCCAAAUUCUCAAUUCUGCUGCCUUUUAAGAAUUCAUUUGAAUACCUUAAGCAGAUAUAACCAAUCUCAGAAUGCCACUUGAUUCAUCCAACAUUCGCAUUUGCUAAACUUAGCAUACAACCAACGUUCUCUUAAUCUUUGCUUCACCGACUUAAUACGUUUACAUGCUCUGCUCUAGGCUUAGAGUAUACCAGAAUAUCUUCAAUGAAAAUGAUAUCUAUUUAUCAAGGCAUUAUUGGAAUACUUCAUCCAAUAACUCAUAAAAUAGCAUGAGUAUCCAUAUAGCAUCACCAAACUUCAUAAAGACUAUAACGAGUCCAGAAAACCAUCUUAUGAUCAAUGUCACUUAUAAUAUUCAAUUGGUAGUAACCAGAUCUCAAUUCAAUCUUUGAAUCUUCGCAAUUACUUCUGAGCUGGUUAAAUAAACAUCAGUACAUCACCAUGGAUAACGGUUCUCAAUCGUUACCCGACUCCAUUGUCUAUAAUCAAUGAACAGUCUCAAGAUCCAUUUUUCUUCCUCACCAACAAACUGGGCUCCUCAAAAGUGUUGUACUAGGUUGAAUAAAACUUUUAUCAACCAAUUCUCUCAACUGAAUUUCCAAUUCCCUUAACUCAUCCUGAACCAAUCUCCAAUAUAAAUUUAUACCUGGCAACAAAUCAAUAAUGAACCUCAUAUCUCUGCCUGAAGGCAAUCCAGGUAUACUUUCAAGGAAGACAUCAAGAAAAGUCUAACUCUUUCGACAUUAUUCACACUACUCCAAACAACAUCAUUUAGCACCACAUGAGCUAAGUAUUUUUUUACAGCCUUUCGAAAACAAUCUCUUUGCUCUCACAGCAUAAAUAAUGGCUGAACUCAAUCCACUUUGCAUACUUACAAAAGUAAUCUCUGGUCAUCCAGAUCGAUGGAAAGUACUGGUUUCCCGUAACAUUCCGUCUUGUCACAAUUAUAACCAACCAAUCUAAUGGAACAGAAUUAACUGAUACAAUAUAUAUUCUAUUAUUAUUAAGCAUUCCAAAUAAGUACAAUACUAACAUAAAAUAAUCUACCGGUUUGCUUGCUUAACGAAUCCACGAAUGAGUUAUUAAUAUUACGGUCUGCAGCCCGCAAUACUGAUAAAUCAUCGUUGUCUCGAUAAGUAGGCAACCACUCUCAAAGAUAUAACAUUACUAUUUUGUCACUCAAUGCAAAAUACAUACACUCAUCUCAACUACAUUUAUUUACUACUCUCAAGGUAAUAACAUACAUAAUAAGAAAUAUAUCAGCCGAAGUCAACUAGAAUGAUCAAUACGGUUGAUUCAACUCUUAUCUCAAUAAUACGUCGGCCGGAUCCACUCCGCGUGGUCGGUACGGCCGAGCCUAUAACUCACAAAUUUCGCAUGUGUCAAUCGAAUCCACUUCUCGUGGCCUGUACGGCUGAACAUAUAACUCAUCAAAUCUCUCUGUACUCACAGUCAAUCCGACCAAACUACUAAGUUUAUAACUCUUCUGAAUCGACACUGUGAUAUCAUGGAAAAUUAUUGAGUACAACUGAUUCUAGGGACGAUUCACAAUUCUGUGUCCCCUCUGUUCACAUAAACACAUUCAUUAAUUUCACACUUCCCAAAGUGUUAAUUUUUGUACCUGCAGCACAAGGUACAUUUCCUUUACUCGAGACACCUUGUCUCAAAUAUCUGGGAUUACCAGUAUAUCCAUCACUUUUAUUCUGACCAGCGACAUUAAAACCUCAGCUAGAAGAAUUAACUCUAGCUUCACUUCUUUCAAAGCUCUAAAUCUUUCUAUAUUCUUGAUAUGACGAAUCAUUAACUUUAUCGUCUUCUUUUAAUUCCCAUUCAUUUCUUAUUCUUCUUUAUUCUCGUUGCUCAUGUUCUCAGAGUCCUCAAGAUUCAACAACAUCUCGUAUAUUCCUGGUAAGAAGUACAAUGGAUAGUGGUCACCCAAAAUACCACUUCCCUUUUUGCCACCCAACUUAAAACAACAUAACACCUCCACCAAAUUAACAACAAUAUCUGGAUGAAACGAGGCAAGUCUGAAAACUUUCUAUAAUAUCCCUCGAUCAUCACCUUCCUUGUCUCAUAUUUGUAAACUCUUGUUUACUACCAUCGAUAAAUGCCGGAGGGAUAAACUUUUCCUUUAAACAAGUCCUUAAACAAUUCUCAAUCGACUGAUUCCUCUGGUGACAACAAUUCAUACUCCUGUUUCCACCAGGAUACAAAUUCAUAACCAAAACCAGGUAGUCGUCUCGACCCCUUGUCAGAAGGAAAUUUCCUUUGACUUGCAUAAUCUGAAACAUCUUUUCCAAAUGGUUAAACCGUUACUUCGCUCCCUCAAGUUCAUCAUUUCAUAAGGUGAUUCAAAUUCGACUCAUAUCCCGUCUUAAAAUGUCCCUUUUUAUAAUAGACUGAAUCACCAUAAUAAUAGUUUCUCCCAAAACCGCUAUAUUAGGGAGACUAAAUUCCUCUAACUACGUGGCUUGCUACGAGGCGGUGUAGUUCUGACAGAAUUCACUAGAACUUCUCAAGAUGUCCAAGAUUGCAACCAUGCUCUGAUACCAACUGACACACCCCGUCCCGAAGGAGGGCAUGCUGGCCGUCACGUGAGAGUGACGUAACCAUUUGCACAGUACGGAAGCUUUAAGAUACAAUUUAAAUUGAUACACCCGAAGGUGAGUCCUAAUUUUGUCCAAUCUGUCAGAACACCGUCGAAUUCCUCGUAGUCACCACACCUUUGUGAUUCCUGAACCUGGAGGGGCGCAAAACCAAAAUUGAGUGGGUCAGUAAAACAAUUCUUUUCCAAAUCCAAACAUUUAUCAAAACGUUGUAACCCCUCUCCGUAAAACCUGUAUACUUUCCCAGAAAUGUAAAAUAUAAAUAUACAUAUAUAUUUCUCAAUACUUCAAUUCAUUAACUCAACAUUUUCAUAUAAUUAUGCCAUGCCACAUCAUCUCAACAUUUCUCAUAUUUAAUUAUGCCAUGCCACAUCAUCUCAACAGUAAUAAGGUAUGAAUGCAUCAACAUAAUCAUAUCAGGUGCAAGAAAGUAAUCAACCGUAGGCCCUCUAAUAGCCCUGUACGGUUGAACCUAGAGCUCAAAAUCUAUCAUUAUCACUCUACCGGAGUCACCUCUGUGACCCGUCCGGCCUUCUGCACACAAGUUACGCUCUAGUGCUUCUCAUAAAUCAUCUGUGCACAUAAUCUAAGGUCACCCACCAGUCGGAAUCUCACUAACACUCUCGCGACUGGUCUGUCGUACCCACUCCGCGUGGACUGUACGACUAGCAUCUACUUGGAUCCAAGGCGAGCGUGCGAUGCGGUGAAUACUAUAAGCACUAAACCAUGGUGCAGGAUUUGAGCUCAAUAUAUAUCAUCAUCAUCAUAACAGUAAUUAAAUACUCAUCUGUGCGUCCACCGCACCAUUUCAUACAUAUGCAUCAUAAAUCAAUUCUUACCUGUGCGUCCACCGCACCAAUUCAUACAUAUGCAUCAUAACUCAAUUCUUACCUGUGCGUCCACCGCACCAAUUCAUACAUAUGCAUCAUAAAUCAAUUCUUACAUGUGCGUCCACCGCACCAAUUCAUACAUAUGCAUCAUAUAUUAAUUCAUGCAUGGCAUUUUCAACUCACAUUUCUAUAUACUUUUCAUAUCAAUUCUAUGCAUGGUAUUUCACUUCCCGUUUUUCCACAUAACUCAUAUGCAUUUCAUUUUAAACAUAUUUUCAUUUCAAUUCAAUUUCUGGGAAACGUCAAGUAUAUAUAUAUACGGAAAACAAAAACUGCCCACUCACCUGGAGUUCGUCCAACAACUCCCUAGCACCACACAUCAAGGCGUCAUGACGAUCGCCGCCUAGAAUAGUAAUCAAAUCCAGGCUCAGAAUUCAUAUCGAUAGAAUACAUAACUUAUAUAAAAUACGUCACUACGUUGAUCGAUCCGGAAGAUCUGCCACUCAGAUUUUAAAUCCAUAACUUCCAGAGGUCCACAUUAUACCUCUAGGACAACAUCCUAAAAUUUCAUUACCAUCCAACGGUCGGAUCUCCGUCAAUUUCCAAAACUAAGUGACGGUUAACAUUUUAUAUUAUGGACUUACAAUUCCAAUUCCGGAAGAUCCGUAACUCGGAUUCCCAAUCCGUAAGUUCCAAUAAUCCUCAAAUAUUACGUAUUACAACGUAUCAAAGUUUGGUGACGAUCCAACGGUCGGAUCAUCAAUUCACAUUUUCACCUAAAUGUGAAAACUAUAAAACGUUAUUUGAACACCUAACCAACAAUCUUCAAUAACUUUCUCAUACGGUGUUCAAUUUAGGUAUAUGAAUAUACCACAGUGAUCUACUCGACGUCACGGACGUCGACAUAUUUUUAAAAUAAUUUUAUUUUUAUUUUUUAUUUUUACUGUAGCACCUUCUUCUUCCUUGGGUCGCCGGACUGGUUUUUCCGGCGGCCGUUUUCCGGGCAGUUUUUCAAAUUGCCAUAACUUUGUCAUUUCUCAACGAAAUCAAGUGAUUCAAAAACGAAAGUUGUAGCCCUUGAAGAGACAAAGAGAAUGGUACCUUGCAAAAC
rnacentral:lncRNA from 1 species